AUUGCUUACACCCCUGUAAGCACCCCAUCUCUUCUGAUCUAGGAAGCUAAGCAGGGUCUGGCCUGCUUAGUACUUGGAUGGGAGAAUGGCUUUAAUCCCCACACUAGGAAGGCAGAGGCAGACAGAUC
rnacentral:rRNA from 1 species